rnacentral:rRNA from 1 species
AUUGAACGCUGGCGGCAUGCCUUACACAUGCAAGUCGAACGGCAGCACGGAGCUUGCUCUGGUGGCGAGUGGCGAACGGGUGAGUAAUAUAUCGGAACGUACCCUAGAGUGGGGGAUAACGUAGCGAAAGUUACGCUAAUACCGCAUACGAUCUAAGGAUGAAAGUGGGGGAUCGCAAGACCUCAUGCUCGUGGAGCGGCCGAUAUCUGAUUAGCUAGUUGGUAGGGUAAAAGCCUACCAAGGCAUCGAUCAGUAGCUGGUCUGAGAGGACGACCAGCCACACUGGAACUGAGACACGGUCCAGACUCCUACGGGAGGCAGCAGUGGGGAAUUUUGGACAAUGGGCGAAAGCCUGAUCCAGCAAUGCCGCGUGAGUGAAGAAGGCCUUCGGGUUGUAAAGCUCUUUUGUCAGGGAAGAAACGGUGGGAGCUAAUAUCUCUUGCUAAUGACGGUACCUGAAGAAUAAGCACCGGCUAACUACGUGCCAGCAGCCGCGGUAAUACGUAGGGUGCAAGCGUUAAUCGGAAUUACUGGGCGUAAAGCGUGCGCAGGCGGUUUUGUAAGUCUGAUGUGAAAUCCCCGGGCUCAACCUGGGAAUUGCAUUGGAGACUGCAAGGCUAGAAUCUGGCAGAGGGGGGUAGAAUUCCACGUGUAGCAGUGAAAUGCGUAGAUAUGUGGAGGAACACCGAUGGCGAAGGCAGCCCCCUGGGUCAAGAUUGACGCUCAUGCACGAAAGCGUGGGGAGCAAACAGGAUUAGAUACCCUGGUAGUCCACGCCCUAAACGAUGUCUACUAGUUGUCGGGUCUUAAUUGACUUGGUAACGCAGCUAACGCGUGAAGUAGACCGCCUGGGGAGUACGGUCGCAAGAUUAAAACUCAAAGGAAUUGACGGGGACCCGCACAAGCGGUGGAUGAUGUGGAUUAAUUCGAUGCAACGCGAAAAACCUUACCUACCCUUGACAUGGCUGGAAUCCUUGAGAGAUCAGGGAGUGCUCGAAAGAGAACCAGUACACAGGUGCUGCAUGGCUGUCGUCAGCUCGUGUCGUGAGAUGUUGGGUUAAGUCCCGCAACGAGCGCAACCCUUGUCAUUAGUUGCUACGAAAGGGCACUCUAAUGAGACUGCCGGUGACAAACCGGAGGAAGGUGGGGAUGACGUCAAGUCCUCAUGGCCCUUAUGGGUAGGGCUUCACACGUCAUACAAUGGUACAUACAGAGCGCCGCCAACCCGCGAGGGGGAGCUAAUCGCAGAAAGUGUAUCGUAGUCCGGAUUGUAGUCUGCAACUCGACUGCAUGAAGUUGGAAUCGCUAGUAAUCGCGGAUCAGCAUGUCGCGGUGAAUACGUUCCCGGGUC